rnacentral:lncRNA from 1 species
AUUCCCAAUGCUGCUAUGGUAUAUACCCGUAGCUUUGGUCCAAUGCAAGAUGUUAAUGGCACUGGUAUUUCCAUGUCUCGGAAGUUUGACGGUCCUUUCGUUCUUAUUGAUGAUGAAGUUGUCAAAAUAUCCGCAAUAGUCCUUCGACCUGGUCACUCAGAAGUGAAUGAACCAGGAAUGGGUCUGGAUGAGACAAAGCCUGCAAAUCUUUCUGUUAUUUAUAUUUGUGAAUUGCCUGAAAUAAAGGGAAAAUUUGAUCCCCAAAAAGCCGCUUCUCUUGGAUUGAGACCUGGGCCGAAAUAUCGUGAACUGCAACUUGGAAAUCCCGUGAAGUCAGAUUGUGAAAAUAUUAUGGUAGAUUAGCAAGCCUUUCAGAAUUUUGCUUUGCGCCUUUAGUAUGUUCAAAUUAUUUCUUCCUAUAAAUUGCUGCACUUGUGAUGUACAGGUUCACCCAAGUGAUGUACUUGGUCCUUCCGUUCCUGGCCCUAUACUGCUGCUAAUUGACUGCCCAACGCCAUUGCAUUUGAAACAGUUGUUGUCUGUACAAAGUCUCAUUCCUUAUUAUGCAGAUACGGCUGGGAAUGUACAGGAAGGUUCCAAAACAGUGCAUUGUGUAAUUCAUCUAAGUCCUGCGUCUGUCACAAACACAAGCGAAUAUCAAUUAUGGAUGUCAAAAUUUGGUGCAGCUCAGCAUAUUAUGGCGGGGCAUCAAAUGUCUGUUUCUUCGAAAAAUUACUAUCUUUAUUUUCACAAUAUGGUUUAUUGCUCGUUCCUUGAGAAAUUAGAACUGAGGAGUCUCAUAUUUUGCAGGAAGAAUGUUGAGGUGCCAAUUUUAAAAGCUGGUGCUAGAAUUGGAGCACGACUUAACUACUUGUGUCCUCAUUUCUUUCCAGCUCCUGGAUUUUGGUCCCUUCAGCACCUGACGUGUUUAUCGUCUGGCUUGAAGGCUUCAAAUAAUGUAUAUUGUGGAAUUAUAUUUUAUAUUUCAGUUAAAAUGAUUUGAUCAAAUCACGUAUUUGUGUAUAAUUUUAUCAAUCUUGGUUGUGUCCUCUCAGGAUCUUAUGCCAGGCAUUGGUGAAACGGUUUCGGCACAGAAUCUUCUCAAGGUGUGAAUUGUCAUCUAAGUCAUUAGUUUCCUAGAAUGACUAUCAAAAUAACCCUAAUGAUAUCUGCAAUUUGCAGAACAUAAUUACCAUUUUAGCUUACGUGCCACUAUUUUAUCAUCCAUUAUCAAGCUGUCAAUUGAAUCUUUACUUGGAGCUGUUAUUUUAUCAUAUGAACAAUGAGAUAAUGCAAAGACGAAUGCUUUAGCCGCUUUUUUUGUUUUGAAAACAAAUAGUGAUGUAGGUAUCAUCAAUUUGAUUUCUCCUUUCACCUUUUUAUCAUAAUGAUUAUAAGUGGUAAUAAAGAGUUGUUAAGAAUAUUGAAAGUUUAAUAUGAAAUCCUUUUGAAGAAGUGCAUGGAAAGUGGAAUCUUAAUAGUUACUAGCUCUAGUUGUUCUUCUAUUACUGUGUAUGUUAUUUAUGUUGAUAUGCUGAUGUCUUUAGUUUGUUAGUGGCUUUAAAAACCCUCUUAUCACACAUCAGACUUUAUAUAAUGUGCACAUGUUUUAUGAACAUCUAUUACUUGUUGCCUUUAUCAAUAUUUUUUGGGUCACCCAAAAGAAACAAAAAACACAUAGGAAAAAAUAGAUUGGGUAGGAUCUCUUUCUAUUGGUAAAUCAUUUACAAAUGACAAUAUUGUGGGUGUAGCUUAAGCUGAAGUUUAUAGUUAGGUUUAUGGGCCAAAUAAUAUCACAUAAUCAAAGUUCAUACAUGGGAUAAAUUUGAAAAUAUCUCUUUAUUCACAUUUAUGAUUUCUCAUAAAAUUUUGAUUUUGCAUUUUUUUGAGGAAAGGUAUUUGGUUUUGGAUUUUAUAUAUAAUAUACAUUACAUUUAUUCCAGGGAUUGCAACGCUUCUGCACUGAGCAUAAAAUCAAAUUGUCGAAGGUAUCAUGCCCAUAAGCUCUCUCUUCUACUCUGUUUUUCUUUCUUACUGCUAAGGAAGAACAAUUUAAUUAUCAUUAUUUUAAUAAAAUGUAUUCCAGAUUGAUCACAUAUUUCUCUCACGUGUUUGCUCGGAAACUGCUGGUGGACUCCCUGGUUUGCUCCUAACCACUGAAUGAACUUAGCAACACGUUUCUCAUUAUAUUACAUAAAAUUGAUUUUAUCACUAAAUUUUCGUACAAUAGAUAAAUGCUAACUUAUUUUCUUGCAGGUCUUUUGUUGACUCUGGCUGGUAUUGGAGAUGGAGUUUCUGUAAGUGUUGGUUUGAUUAAGUGCAUCUUAUAAAAAUUCAUGGAUAGGAUUUGAACAGUAAUUUUUGAAAUCAUAAUGUUCUUCUUAACUCUUCCGAAGGUCAAUGUAUGGGGUCCCUCAGAUCUCAAGUAUCUGGUUGAUGCAAUGAAAUCUUUCAUUCCCAAUGCUGCUAUGGUAUAUACCCGUAGCUUUGGUCCAAUGCAAGAUGUUAAUGGCACUGGUAUUUCCAUGUCUCGGAAGUUUGACGGUCCUUUCGUUCUAAUUGAUGAUGAAGUUGUCAAAAUAUCCGCAAUAGUCCUUCGACCUGGUCACUCAGAAGUGAAUGAACCAGGAAUGGGUCUGGAUGAGACAAAGCCUGCAAAUCUUUCUGUUAUUUAUAUUUGUGAAUUGCCUGAAAUAAAGGGAAAAUUUGAUCCCCAAAAAGCCGCUUCUCUUGGAUUGAGACCUGGGCCGAAAUAUCGUGAACUGCAACUUGGAAAUCCCGUGAAGUCAGAUUGUGAAAAUAUUAU